rnacentral:rRNA from 1 species
AUACGGAGGAUCCGAGCGUUAUCCGGAUUUAUUGGGUUUAAAGGGUGCGCAGGCGGCCAUUUAAGUCAGCGGUUAAAUCGUGGGGCUCAACCCCAUUCUGCCGUUGAUACUGGGUGGCUUGAUUGCGGUCGAGGUUGGCGGAAUUUGUUGUGUAGCGGUGAAAUGCAUAGAUAUGACGAAGAACACAGAUUGCGUAGGCAGCUGACCAGAACGCAAAUGACGCUCAUGCACGAAAGUGCGGGGAUCGAACAGGAUUAGAUACCCUGGUAGUCCGCACAGUAAACGAUGAAUACUUGGUUUCGGCGAUAUAAUGUCGGAGGCAAAGCGAAAGCGAUAAGUAUUCCGCCUGGGGAGUACGCCGGCAACGGUGAAACUCAAAUUAAUUGACGGGG